UUCAGUGACCAUGUUUAUUAUGGAGUCAGAUCUAGACCUUUCCAUUCAAUUUAAUGCUUCAUUAUCCAAACAAAAAAUGACUCACUUUUUAUAAAAGACUAAAAGCAUCUAUAAAGUGGCAAAUAUUCUAUAGAGCUGUCUGGCCAAAAUGUAUUGCACUAGUAAAUUGUAAACAGCACUAUACAAAUAGAAUCACACAACUGCUGUGACAAAAACAUAAGGACCCAACACAUAUACAUAGAGUUCAAAGUAGAGUAGUGAAAGAAAAAAAUGUAUACUAUUGCAAUUAUUGGAGAAUAGAGGCAGAAAAGUAACAGCUCUAUGCCAUGGAACUUGUUGGCAACAGCAUGGUUUGGUUGUUAGAAUAAAAAGUACAAAAUGUAAAUAAAUUUUAUGUUUAAAAAACAAAUCAAGCAGUUUUUUUUAAACUGGUUUCUGUCUUAACAUCAAAGCCAAAAAAAUCCAUGACAGUCCAGGCCUCUCAACACCACUGACCUAUGUUCACAUAGCUGAGCUCAACUGGUCUAAAGAAAUGUCUUGUGACAUUUGUAUGGAUUAGCUCAGACAUGGGAACAUUUCACAUCAAGCAUCCCAUCCCUGCAGGCACAGCUCUCAAACUUUAGAGAAUACAUUACAUUGUGUAGACCCUGUCAGUUUCACCUCUGUCCCUAAACAGCAAAAAAUACAUCGAACACAAUGUAAAAAGUAACUGCCAUAUGGGAGACCACUAAAAAUAUACAAGUAACAAGUUGCAGGGUUGAGAUAUAUACCACACUGCAAAAUACUUCAUUCAGGUUCAACAAGUCAAGUGUUGUUACAUGUUGAGUGUUUCAACUCUGUCCCUAGACAUACUCUUGGCAACAGUACAGGAAGGUCACAGUUGAAACAUACAAUAUCAAAACAUAGCAUAGGAUGUUCUUUUGGGAAGGCAAGGGCUGUCUUGUUUGCAUUGGCUUUGACAGAGUCAUUUCUAAAAGAGUAAACUCAGUUAACAGCUUUUGUUGUUCAUGGAUGAUAUACUGUAUAUAUAAAAAAAAAUCCACUGGGCUUGACAACAAAACAUAUAAAAUACUUUC